CUCAAACCAAAGCCCUCCCCGAUCUAUAUACACAGAGUACGCUGAGCUGCUUAUCUUUGCUCCCCAGCUGGGAACCGAGCCCCAGUGGGAUGAAAAAACUCCCUCAAGGCCUUACAGACCCUGCAGAGGAGCGGGGAGCCAGCCUUUCGGCAAGGUUUCAGCGCUGGUUUUAGCAAGCUGAGAUCAAAUGCUGCUGUGUCAUGAGGAUACAAAGAAGCGUGCAAAGAGGAAAUCUUCUCUUCACCAAGAAAGCAAAUUCAAGAGUUCACAUCAUUUCCCUUGUGGAUCCAAGCACAGCCAAUAGUGGACCAGGAGACUAAUGUUGUUAGAUUAUUUCUUUACUGCAUGUUCUUUUUCUUAAAGAUCAUCUUCUUUCUUAAAGAUCAUCCUGUUCCAACCCCACUGCCAUGGGCAGGGACAUCCCACUGGAUCAGGCUGCCCAAGGCCCAUCCAACCUGGCCUGGAACACCUCCAGGGAUGGAACAACCACAA